rnacentral:lncRNA from 1 species
ACCAAUCAUCUUGAGUUGGAAAGUGGGCACCAAUCUUUACUUUUCCUUUCAUUCUAUAACAUGUUCCCCCCCAGGAACUUUCCAUGCUCGGUGGAAAUUCAUGUCCAUAAUAAAACCUGCCGCAUAGAAUCUGAUCAUUUACGAUUUUAAGUGGUCUGAACCUUUUUUUUUUAUCCCCAUAAUUUUAGGAGCUAAAAAACGUGAAGAAUCUACCAAUAACGAUAUUGACAACAUGGAAAGCUGCCCAAAUUGGACCAGAUAACAAGAGUUAUAAAGUUGGUACUGGAAUCAUUGUGAAAGUUAUAUGAAUAAGAAUGUAUCUUACAAACUUUUGUCAAAAGUCUUUGACUGGUAGAUUAUGAAAGGAACAUUUCCACGAAACUCCCUAGUAUAUUCUGCGAAUAUGCCCAUGCAGACUUGGAACUCAUAUGGGGUCCUUGGAUUUCUCCUUCAAAGAAAGGAAGCCAGAGUUAUUGCAAUCAUAAUCUUUGUUGUUGUCACAUGGUCAGCGUCCACUAUGACAUUGAUAUUGACUCCUACCAAACUUUCAAAAGUAGAAACCUCUCAUUGAUUUGCAGAAGGCAUAGAAACAGAUUGGGGAACAUUUUUUUUCUCUAAUGUAAUUUCCAAAAAAGUUUGACAAAGUUGCUUAUACUCUUCCCAAAAAUAAAGGAAGUAUUCACAUAGUGAAUGAAAAUCCCUUUUCCGGUCACUUCAAUAAUAUUAUGUCGUGUUCUCUCACUAGUAAUGAUACUAAGACUCUUUUGUUUUCAAAAAUCAUUCUUUCUUAUUCAUUAAAUUUUUUUUUCCUUAUUUUCUCUUUCGCAAAGUGGUUUCCCAUUCAUUAAUUUUUUUUGCCUUCUUCGUCUCUCAUAUUUCUUCUCUCUCACACAAAACAUUACUAGUUAAUAAUAAUCCAUGAUGUUAUCUAAGUAUUUGGGUUUUGCCCUUUCUUUGUUUUUUUCUCUCUUUUAUUGAUCUCAUAGCAAAACCUGCUCCUUUUUAUCGAUAGAUCAUCUCUUUGUUUUUUUGUUUGGGUUUUUUGCUUUUUUCUUUUUCUGGGAGGAAAUCAAAGAAAAAUCUUAUUUCCAUCAAAUCUCAACUCAACGCCAAAUUCAUCUGCUUUUGUAACUAGAACAACAACGAAGCAACAAAAGAUUCAUCUACUUUUCUCCUCGUUUUGAUUCCUC